AGUUACCUAAACUUUCGGCUUUCAAAAUAAAAAAUUCAAAUUAGGCUGGUGUAGGUAAGCACUUGUCUUUAACUACUACUACGAUAAUAGGGAUGGUGUGCUCGAGCGCAGUAUUUAUGACGAUGAUGAUGUUGACGACUGUUUGUAAUAAACAGUAGAGGGCACCAAUACGCCAUUGCAGCGUCCAGUGUGCUCAAUCCAAAGAAGAAGAACGUUCUACUCGGCACGCAAUCAAGACUUGUGCUUUGAAAGUCAUUAACGUUUAAUCUGUUUUUUUUUUUUUUUAAAUACAGUCUAUGGUUUUUUCGAGCUAAAAAUCACUAGCAUAUACUUUGGUCAUCAGGAACUAAGCCAACUUAGCUAAAUUUGCUCGGUAAAGUUGGCGGAUGCCAGUUUAUGAGCCAGAAAAGAAGGCUUUGCUCCAUUGAGACAGCAAUGGCGGGAGAUUUGACGCUGCAAUGGAUGUCCCGGCGGACAUUGCGGUCAAAUGCAAUUUAUAAUCACAAUUUCGAACGAGACUGGGUAAAGACAUUGGCCAUCAAAACCAAACGUGCUGCUGUGGAGUCUGGCCUGCUGACAGGACACCAAGUCAAAGAAGAAGCUCUUCUAAAGUGCGUGACAUUCGGAUGAACUUGCAUUUUGCCUCUCAAAAAUCCUGACAUUUGCCAGUCGAAGAAAGAGCCAGAUUCCUGUAUUGCUCCACUGAUCCUACCUGUACAAAAAGCAUUCAGCAAAGUAAGCUUCACAUCAUCGGGUGUCCCGCUGGCCUUUGGGGACUUAAGGCUCUCGCUCUCCUCCGUUUCCUCACUCUCCAAGGACAAAGCCAUGACGGGGGCCUCCAGGUCGGCCUCAGCGG